UUACCAGUCUUCAUUGAAUCUGAAUAUGACAGCACAGAAAUGCAUUGACAGUCUGGACCUUGUACGCACCUUCAUUCGAGGAUUUCUCUCCUCAUCGCCCAGAAGCGCUACACGACGAAAGAAGUCGCUUCUGCUUCUUCGCCGAUAAUGAUAACUCCAAAUCUAUGCAGGUUGGAAUGCAGAAUUCAGGAGUACCGAAAAGAUAUGUUCCUGAGCUUCACCGUUAAUCAGGAGUACGAAAAAGAUAUGUUCGUGAGCUUCGAAAAGAUAUGUUCGUGAGCUUCGAGAAGAUAUGUUCGUGAGCUUCACCGUUAACUAUUCAAGUUGCCAGUUAGCUGUUUAUUCAAAUUUCCUGUCGCUGUGAAGAACAGCUUUUUCAUCCCCGUACAUUAGCAGUUUAAGACAAAAUUGUCAAGUCCAAGGCAGAAGAUUUUUAUAUUAACAAUUAAAUAUAUUAAUGCUUUAUUUUAAAUUA